GCCUUCGUGGUGUAAUGGUAACACACUUGGCGCAUAUUCGAGAGGUCUAGGUUCGAGUCAAGGUGAGGGCA
rnacentral:tRNA from 1 species